rnacentral:tRNA from 5 species
UGGGGUAUCGCCAAGCGGUAAGGCACCGGUUUUUGAUACCGGCAUUCCCUGGUUCGAAUCCAGGUACCCAGCCA